UUUAAGGUCUGACCUGCCCAAUGAGGAUUUAAAUGGCCGCAGUAUUUUGACUGUGCAAAGGUAGCAUAAUUAUUAGUUUUUUAAUUGAAAGCUUGUAUGAAGGGUUGGACGAGAUAAAAUCUGUCUCUAUUUAGAUUAAAAUAGAAUUUAACUUUUAAGUCAAAAGGCUUAAAUGUAUAUAAAAGACGAGAAGACCCUAUAGAUCUUUAUUUAAAUUGGAUUUUAAUAAUUUAGGAUUAUUUUAAUUUAAAUUCUAAUUUAAAUUUUAUUGGGGUAAUAUAAAGAUUAAAUAAAUUCUUUUUAUUUAUAACAUUAAUUUAUGAAUUUGUGAUCCAUUAUUAGUGAUUAGAAGAUUAAGUUACCUUAGGGAUAACAGCGUAAUUUUUUUGGAGAGCUCAUAUCGAUAAAAAAGUUUGCGACCUCGAUGUUGGAUUAAAAAUUAGCUUGGGUGCAGAAGCUCAAGAGUUUGGUCUGUUCGACCAUUAAAUUUUUCAUUGAUCU
rnacentral:rRNA from 1 species